GACGAACGCUGGCGGCGUGCUUAACACAUGCAAGUCGAACGGGCCUGUCUUCUUUUUUGGGGGUGGGUUGAGUGGCGAACGGGUGAGUAUCACGUGAGUAACCUGCCCUUCGGUCCUGGAUAACCGCUUGAAAGGGCGGCUAAUACGGGGUGGUCCGGUUGGUCCGCAUGGGCUGGUCGGGAUAGAUUCACUGUUUUUGGUGUUUCGGCGGGGGAUGGGCUCGCGGCCUAUCAGCUUGUUGGUGGGGUGAUGGCCUACCAAGGCGGUGACGGGGAGCCGGCCUGAGAGGGUGGGCGGCCACACUGGGACUGAGAUACGGCCCAGACUCCUGCGGGAGGCAGCAGUGGGGGGGAUGGCACAAUGGGCGGAAGCCUGAUGCAGCGACGUCGCGUGAGGGAUGGAGGCCUUCGGGUUGUGAACCUCUGUUUCCGGUGGUGAAGGCCCUGUCCGUGUGGUGGGGUUGACGGUAGCCGGGGAUGAAGCGCCGGCUAACUACGUG
rnacentral:rRNA from 1 species